rnacentral:lncRNA from 1 species
UAUGCAGAGGCCCUAGUUAGAUCCCAUUCAGGUUCCCCAGAUAUCACUCUAGAGUCCUUGAGCUCCAAGGACCUCAGGACCCCUCCCUCUCUUUGACUGGACUCCUGAUGCUUGGUCUGGUGCUUGGCUGUGGAUCUCUGCAUCUGGUUCCAUCAGUUACUGGAUGAAGGUUCUAUGAUGACAGUUCUAGUGGUAUUUGCCAUCUGUACAUAUUCUUCAGUAAAAUCUGUAUGCCUGACUUAUCAUUUGUCCAUUUUUAAUUUGAUUGGUCUUUAUGUUUACUUUCAGGACUGUAUAUAUUCUAAACAAAUUUCCUGGAUCAUAAAUUUUUUCAAAUGUUUUUCCUUGUGUAGGUUGCCUGGAGGAGCAGAACAGGUCCAACAUGGCUGUCAAGAAUAUUGGAGCAAUGACAGCCCAGAAGCUGAGGGACCUAGAACAGCAUCCAGCAUCCAGCAUCCAG